UAGGGAAUAUUGCACAAUGGGCGAAAGCCUGAUGCAGCAACGCCGCGUGCGCGAAGAAGGCCUUCGGGUCGUAAAGCGCUUUUCUGAGAGAUGAGAAAGGACAGUAUCUCAGGAAUAAGUCUCGGCUAACUACGUGCCAGCAGCCGCGGUAAAACGUAGGAGGCGAGCGUUAUCCGGAUUCACUGGGCGUAAAGCGCGUGCAGGCGGUUCGGUAAGUUGGGCGUGAAAUCUCUCGGCUUAACUGGGAGAGGUCGUCCAAUACUACCGGGCUAGAGAGUGGUAGAGGAAGAUGGAAUUCCCGGUGUAGUGGUGAAAUGCGUAGAUAUCGGGAGGAACACCAGUGGCGAAAGCGAUCUUCUGGACCAUUUCUGACGCUCAGACGCGAAAGCUAGGGUAGUAAACGGGAUUAGAGACCCCGGUAAUCCUAGCCAUAAACGAUGUAAACUUGGCGUUGGUGGCUUAAACUCCAUCAGUGCCGCAGCAAACGCGAUAAGUUUACCGCCUGGGGACUACGAUCGCAAGAUUA
rnacentral:rRNA from 1 species